rnacentral:rRNA from 1 species
CCUACGGGGGGCAGCAGUGGGGAAUAUUGGACAAUGGGGGGAACCCUGAUCCAGCCAUGCCGCGUGUGUGAAGAAGGCCCUCGGGUUGUAAAGCACUUUCAGUGAGGAAGAACGCCUGGUGGUUAAUACCCAUCAGGAAAGACAUCACUCACAGAAGAAGCACCGGCUAACUCCGUGCCAGCAGCCGCGGUAAUACGGAGGGUGCGAGCGUUAAUCGGAAUUACUGGGCGUAAAGCGCGCGUAGGUGGCUUGAUAAGCCGGUUGUGAAAGCCCCGGGCUCAACCUGGGAACGGCAUCCGGAACUGUCAAGCUAGAGUGCAGGAGAGGAAGGUAGAAUUCCCGGUGUAGCGGUGAAAUGCGUAGAGAUCGGGAGGAAUACCAGUGGCGAAGGCGGCCUUCUGGACUGACACUGCCACUGAGGUGCGAAAGCGUGGGUAGCAAACAGGAUUAGAUACCCUAGUAGUA